rnacentral:rRNA from 1 species
UACGUAGGGGGCAAGCGUUGUCCGGAAUCAUUGGGCGUAAAGCGCGCGUAGGCGGCCCGGUAAGUCCGUUGUGAAAGUCAAAGGCUCAACCUUUGAAUGCCGAUGGAUACUGCCGGGCUAGAGUCCGGAAGAGGCGAGUGGAAUUCCUGGUGUAGCGGUGGAAUGCGCAGAUAUCAGGAGGAACACCGGUGGCGAAGGCGGGAUCCUGGGCCAGUACUGACGCUGAGGAGCGAAAGCGUGGGGAGCAAACAGG